AGCUGUUUUAAAAAAUUAACUGAAAGGAGCUGGCCCAUUCAAGGAGCGCAACUGAUGGUGUUGAAUUUUCAUGGACUUUCACAUGAAAAUUAAAAUUUUAGGAAAAUUAGUAUCCUCCAUGGUGAGCCUGACAGCAUUCCAGAACUCAAAGACUUUCCUGAUGCGCUGGGUAGUGACAUUUCAGAAUCUGUGUGUUCUUUACAUUGUCUAAGGAAACGGGCCAACAGCAGGGAGACGCUGUAACUUGGGGAGCCAGUAUUUUGCACAUGAGCACUGUGUGAUAUUACAAAAUCACUUGUAGGUAAAAGAUCCAUUCCGAGCACAAGAUAAGGCGAUACUUUGCUGUAAGGGAAGAAUAAAAUGUCAUCAAUAUGGCUUCAGAGUCCACAUUCCAGCUGACUGGAAUUUCAGAAGCUACUGUCGUCAGAAAAAAUAGCCACGAUUAUCUGAAAAGGCUGCGAAAAAUGUCCUCCUUUUCCAACUCUCAUACCUGGGAGGCAGCUUGGGCUCUCUGAAGGCAAGCUAAAAGGAAGCAGACCAUCUCUGGUCCUGUGUGUAUAAACAGCAAGACUUGGAGACACGGAAAGAUGCAAAAAUGAAUUACUACUUGUCAUUCCCUGCUGUUUCAUGUGAAAUGAAUGAAAUGCACUAUCUUCGUAUGGACACACAGAUCAUGAUAAAAUUCUGACUUGAUAUUGUGUUGUGAACAUCUCAAAAACUUUGAUCCUUAUUCUAGGAUCUCAAGACCUAACACUUGGCAUGAUACAGAAAAGUGGUUCAGAUACUCAGUCUUUCUACUGAGGCUGUCAUUUGUGUGAUGUCCACACAUCCCAGGCGGUGUUCAGGAGAUAGGGUCUCUGGCUCUGGAUGGCCUGUGAAUUAGUGUUGGGAUUCUGUCUGUUGGUGACUUCAUCAGAAAGCUACUAACUCUCGGGGCCAACAUGAACACCAAGGAGAUACCACGUCUCCCAGAUAUAGAAGCACACCAUAGAUCAAUUCUGAUUGGCAGUUCCCACCUGGUGUGGGAUUACUCCAAAGAUGAUUGCUUUUUUGAGGCCUUCUGUGGUUUAUUUUUAAAUGUUAAGUGCUCUGCAAAGAGAGAGGCUAUGCAUGCUUAAACUCAGUCGGACUGUACCCAGUCUUGGUAAUGAUGGGGAUGGUAAAGGUUUAAUUUUUAAAAUUACAGGGCGUAUGUGAAAAACACAUCCUAACCUUUUUUUUUUUUUUCCCCCUAAAGAAUCCUGUUGGAAACACAUUCUCAGAAGAAGGAAUUUGAAAGUCUUUUCAAGAAAACUGGAAUGCCCAUCAAGAAGCUGGGCGGCGGGAGACGCCUCUUCCUGGGCACCCCUCCAGGGGGCCAGUGCUGGCUGCACCUUGGCUAACUCGGCCACCAGCUGGUAGAUCGCCUGGGACGCCAGGUCGUCGCUGACCUCUCCGGUCUCCAUG